GCAGUAUUAAGUGGUGCUGGGAGCAGGGCAUCAUGUAACUCUCCAGAGUUUGGCUGGUGGUGGUGGUUGAGAGCAUCCUGCUUCUGAACAGGCUGGUUCUCCUUUGGAUCUUACAGAUGUUUUGUGAUUAUCUAUUGUUUAAAGGAACAGGGCUUGUGAGUGGAUUAAAAACUCACUGUUAUCUACAAAUGAAGCAUACUCCUACAAGGAGAGCUGAAAAGGAUGCAAAUCUAUUCUACAAUUUAAACUUGAACUGUUUAUGACAGAUGUAUAUUAAUAUAAAAUUCUUUUCUUAAUGCACACAUGGGUGAAGCAGAUUGCACAGAAAUUACUGGGCUAAUUAAAAUUGAGCGAAUGUUUUAAUUUCUGUUAAAUACAACAGCAUAUUUUCUACCUGCAUCAGCUCUAUGCCUUAUUCUUUUUGAGAUAUUGGAAAGCAAGUAAAAUAGUUGACUGCAUUACAUCAAAAGAACUGAUUUUUUGUUUCCCAGCCCUUUAAUGUAUUUUUCUGUUAGAAUGUUCAAUCAAAAUGGUCUUGUCCUAACUAUUGCUUUGUGUCUUUCUACAUAGAAAUUCAGUUUCUUAUAUGCACAUGCAUGAUAAUAAUUUGAGGUUAAUGACAACCCUGAGAAACAAUUUUAAUUUCUAAUGCUUAGAAAUGAACAAGUUGGUUUGAAUAAUGAAUCAUUACCUGUCAACUUCAGACUUUUAUGCAGAAUGUAAAUACUUUGCUUUCUUCGUGUUCUUCCUUGGGAUCAAGUGGACUAGGCAUUCAGUCUUGUGAAGUGUAGGCUUCUCUUUCACAAACUGCAGUAUAAAUGAAAACAAAUUCUCCUCUUAGUGUCUUUUUGUCUUGCUACUUGUAGCAUCUAGUACUGAAUUAAUAUCAUGCUCACAACAUCUAUUGAUUUCCAGGAAUAAUGUAUCAGAUAUCCAGUUAUAUGUGCUAUCAUCUGUCUUCUUAUGAAUUGAUUCUAUUUGCUCAUCUUUCCAAUUUGUCCAGUGUCUUUAUUUGCAUUAAUAUUGCCCCUGCAGCCUGCCAUAUUUUCUGUCUUCCUCCGUAAUAGCAAUGUAAUUCAUAGUUUUUUCAAUAUUUAUUGCUAAUAAUAAUUACCUGGGUCCUGUUCUGCAUGUGGGAGGUUUCCAGCUCUUGUUAGUGACUUUUCAGGGACUGUGAAUCAUAUUGUUAGUGUUUAAUAUAUAUGGACAUAUUGGAAUUAUAUUAACAUGAACUUCCUUCUUAUGAGAAACAAGAUCUUUUGAGUAACUACUGUAGCAGGGAUGUAAAUUCAGUUUAAAGAGUUUGUUUAGCUUGCUUGGGUUGAAUGCUUGCCUGUUAGAUAACAGUUUGAUAUUUUCUUCUCCAGAGCUGUGACUUCCUUUGCUGUUACUCCUCUUUUUCCUCUUCUUCCUUACUUCUUACUGUACUCUUCCCUUCCAAAAGAUAUUGUAAGCUUUCCUGCUGUGUUGAUGUUCAUGUCAGAACAUCCCUGGCUUGUUUCUAACUUGCCAUCAAAUUUUGCAAUACUUGACUUGUCCUUGAUCGCUACACUGGUUUACAUCUAAUGCCCAUGGCUUCAGGGAAGGGGUCAAGUAUUUAAGGAAGUUGUGGUGUUUGGUGGUGGGGUUUUUUUUUUUUUUUGUUUUUUUUUUUUUCUUCUUCAUUUCUGUGGGAUCCCUUGAGCUUACACACAGAAAAGAUGCUUACUGAGCCUUCAAUAAAGUUUCAUAGUCUUUAGUUUUACAUGGCUUUCUUCAGACUUUCAGCACCGCUGUUAAUAGAACGGUUUUCUAUUAAGCAGGAAGAUAUGUCUUGCUGAUCCUCAGGAAAUGGAAAAAGACAAACCAAACUGAGAUAUAUUCUAUCACUGUCAAAAAACAAACUGAAUAGAAAUUCCAAGUUGCCAUCAUAGCUCAGUGUUUCUGUUCAGAUUGAGAGAGUUUUGUAUAUUGAACAUCCACCUGAAAUGUUUCAGUAUGAAUGCUACCACGUAAUGCUAGUGCAUGGAUGAAAAAGCAGAAACAAGAAGUGUCAGUGAAGGCUGAAAUCAUGCAGAUCCUUGUCUGCACAAACAGGGACUGCUCCUUUAGGGGCUGGGGAUUGGGACUUUGGAGGGAACUAAACAGUCCAAAUCAUAGGGUUUGGGAUGUUUUAUAUGCCUUUUAUGAACUUAAUUUCCAUUUUAAUACCGAUGCUACAUAUAUAUGAAAAAUUAUCCACUCCCAACUUCUCUGUGGAACAGUUACCAUCUCUAGGAACGCUUUCAC